UUUUUCUGUGAUUGUCAAUAUAAUAGUGAAUAACGUAUUGUUAUUAUCAGCUGCGGAUAGAGCAGAGACGAGGCCGAGUUUUUGAGGGAUGGAGAGAAGGGAAGAUAUAUUUUCCUCCAACUUAUAAAUACUCACACAAUUCAGACAGAUAUGUGGGAGGUGAAAUGCAUCCUAAGGAGAAACGAAGGACACCAGCGUGGUUAGAACUCUCUCUUACUGAUCAAUAUGCCUUAUAUGUUGAUUAUUCAUUAAAUAAGUAAAAAUUGAUCAGGUGUGAUCGAAUUUUGUGGUACGGAGACGGCCUUCAGCAGUUAUCUUAUGUACGCGGGGAGUCUAGGUUCUCAGAUCAUAGACCUGUUUCCAGCAUAUUUUGGGCCGAAGCUGAGUCAGUUCCCAGCCGGUUAAGGAAAAGCACAAGUUGUUCCAGCUCGAGGAUUGAUGUGGAGGAGUUGUUUCCUCCAUACUCGCAUGGUUACACAGAACUAUGCUUCUUUUGAAGUAGUAAAAACGGAUGGUUAAAAAUGAGUACGCGUUCAGUCCUUGAACAUCUAAUAUCAGUGCUUUGAGGGUGUGAAAUUUUACGCACCCAAAGCAAGAUGUGAGAAAAUAUGCAGGCGGGGAAAUGCUCUGGGGAAGCAUAGGGUGAAGAACGAUGGGGACAUCCUUUGCCCAUUAACUGAAAAAUGGUGAAGCCUGAUGCUCUUUUACCUUUUCUUGAUUAUGCUGCAGCUUGUCAUUUUCUUUUCUGAUUUUUUGCCUUCCAUUUUCUGAUCAGAUGUAGAUAUUAGACAUAUACUUACAAAGCAAUCGGGCUCGCUUCUUGCUAUUGACUUUUCCAAUGACAAAUGCCUUCUCUUCUCAAAGAACCAGACGAGAUGAGACGAUCUUCACCAGUCUUACUAGGCGGGCGGGAAAAAAUCUAAUCCGGCUUGCUAACUAAUCUCGUGUUAUUUUAUCUAAUACAAGAUUCUUUAUUUCUUAGGAUAGAGAUUCAUUUCUAUUUGUUUGAACAGGAAGAGAAGUGAGAAUUUGAUAUGCACUCUCUAAUAUUGCCAAUGAUUUCACUGAAAAGUGGUAAUAUUGGGAAGAUAGCUCUCAUGUAUUGUUGUCUGCUUUUUCUUUUGUCUGUAAAGAUUACAAAAGCAUAAAACAGGUUGCAGAGCUUGAUAGAUUCACUUUUCUACUUAUGGUUACUUAUAAUUAAAAUAAGUUUUCC
rnacentral:lncRNA from 1 species